rnacentral:rRNA from 1 species
GACGAACGCUGGCGGCGUGCUUAACACAUGCAAGUCGAACGGGAUUUAGUAGACAGAAGCCUCGGCUAAAGAUUACUAAUGAGAGUGGCGAGCGGGUGAGUAACGCGUGAGCAACCUGCCUAUGACAGUGGGAUAGCCUCGGGAAACCGGGAUUAAUACCGCAUAAAAUCGUAGAAACACAUGUUUUAACGGUCAAAGAUUUAUCGGUCAUAGAUGGGCUCGCGUCUGAUUAGCUAGUUGGUGAGAUAACAGCCCACCAAGGCGACGAUCAGUAGCCGGUCUGAGAGGAUGAACGGCCACAUUGGAACUGAGACACGGUCCAAACUCCUACGGGAGGCAGCAGUGGGGAAUAUUGCACAAUGGGGGAAACCCUGAUGCAGCGACGCCGCGUGAACGAAGAAGGUAUUCGUAUCGUAAAGUUCUGUCCUAUGGGAAGAUAAUGACAGUACCAUAGAAGAAAGCUCCGGCUAAAUACGUG